UCCCAGAUGGUUGGGGGAGGGUUGGGACCCUUACAACACUUUUGCCUUCAGCAAAAAUGUAUUUCAAUAUAAUUAUAGGAGAUAGCUUUCAAUAUGUCAUCUCUGUUAUAGCAGCUGUAAAUUAUGAAGUGAAUUGCUUGUGUACAAGCACUUCUUCUGGAACAAGCAAAGUGGGAGAGCUGCAUAAGGCAUGAUAUAUAUCUUUUCUUUUUUAACUGAGAACAAAUCUCUAAGUCAAAUUUCAUUUGCAAAAACCAAUGUAUCCAUUUCCCUUUGGUAGAGAGGCAGAGGAAACAAGACCCUCAAUUCUUUAAAACAGGCUUCCCAGGACCCUUGGCUCAAGUUCAUUAGGAAUUCACCUAUUCUAAUAGUCGGGCCUUUAAUCAUAAGAGCAUAUUUGAAAGAUACAGUAAAAACAUUUUUCAAAACUUGUAGCUAGUCCCAUCCCAUAGUUCAGGAUGCCAUAUAAGCCUCCAUUGUCUGGCUGCCUUUGGGUCUUAUAUGGGGAUCCCAUGUGUACAAAAUAAAAAAAAUUUGUUUUCCUCCUUUUAAAACAAAAAACUUGUAGCUAAUCAACAAGAAGACAAGCAACCAGGUCUUCCUCCCAGCUAAAGAGGAAGGCAGUGCAACCAAGACAAAAGCAUUACAACACAGUUGCUGCAAGCUUUGAAAAAUUAUCAUAUUCCUCUUGGUCGUCAGGAUCAACAAAAGUCAAAUCUGGAUACUCUCUGCUGAAGACAACCAAUAUUAAUGAAUCAGACUACAGAGUCAUUGUCUGGGAUCCCAAAGGAAACAAAAAUGUGAAUACAACAAAUUCUUCUUAGAAGAGAAAAUCCUGCAGAACUACUGAACAGAACAUCAUUGGUCAAUGCUCUGAUCAUAAAUAUGUUAAACCUUACAUGAUAUUUUUGAAUAUGCAUGCAAGCUAGAUCCAGUUUUAACUAAAAUUUUACUCUGAUUUUAUUUUUCAGUUUAGGUCUUCGUAAUGAACAUC